GAGUUUGAUCGUGGCUCAGGAUGAACGCUGGCGGCGUGCCUAAUACAUGCAAGUCGAGCGAACGGACGAGAAGCUUUGCUUCUCUGAUGUUAGCGGCGGACGGGUGAGUAACACGUGGAUAACCUACCUAUAAGACUGGGAUAAACUUCGGGAAACCGGAGCUAAUACCGGAUAAUAUUUUGAACCGCAUGGUUCAAAAGUGAAAGACGGUCUUGCUGUCACUUAUAGAUGGAUCCGCGCUGCAUUAGCUAGUUGGUAAGGUAACGGCUUACCAAGGCAACGAUGCAUAGCCGACCUGAGAGGGUGAUCGGCCACACUGGAACUGAGACACGGUCCAGACUCCUACGGGAGGCAGCAGUAGGGAAUCUUCCGCAAUGGGGAAAGCCUGACGGAGCAACGCCGCGUGAGUGAUGAAGGUCUUCGGA
rnacentral:rRNA from 1 species